CCUAAAGCGACUGCCCAGCAUGGAUCAUCAGGUCAGAAUCCUUACAGGGAGGCCCCUAUUUUUCUCCCUCAUUUCAAAUAAAGAUACGGAAGACCAGAAGGGACAUCUGAUUUAAUAUACAGUUGAUUCAUUGACAUCGAACUCACGACCCACAGCUCUAUGAGUCAUGCCUGAGCGAAGCUUAUCUAAGCCACAUGUCUUCUCUGUAAGGGACAUUCCAGCCUCCUGGCCCUUGGGAACGUACACAGCACCUCAGCACCACACUUUGGGGCCAUUUUAAAUAGCAAAUUUGCCAACGACAAUCACAGAAUGUGAA